rnacentral:misc_RNA from 1 species
GUGUCCACCAAGAGCUUGAAACGACGGAAAGAACCGUUUACAAGUCUUGCACUGGUAAAGCCGCCACGACCCUGAUUCCUUAUUAACAGCAGUAGUACUCGUAGCCAUAGCUGCAGGCUCAGAUAAUUUUCUAGUCUGGUUAUGGAGGCUGCUACCUUGAGCUAAAAGAAUCAAGCAAUUAGCCAUGUCCUCUUCUUCCCCACCGGUGCUUUCCGCGAAUUCAAUCGAGGUGACAGGACAAGUCAUCGUCGUUGCAGAAGACAUGUUAUUGUCAAUUCUUUCAAGUGGUUCUGCACCGCUAUCUCCGCCACUAGAAGAGCUAGAAGUGACGGGUAACCCGAGAGGAGAGGGCAGGCGUUGACGCUUGGUGCGCUUGCCUUUGAUGAUAUUGGUAUGUGAAAGGUCUUCAGAAGCCAUUACUUGUUGAGCAUCCAUGAAAAUAAUGUUUGUUUGCCUGAAUUUUCUUGGCGGGCAGUCUUGAUUUUAU